rfam:Ixodes scapularis strain Wikel colony gcontig_1107728552172, whole genome shotgun sequence.
UCAGCGGCUCUUUUCAGAGCCACCAA